rnacentral:rRNA from 1 species
GACAGAGGGGGCAAGCGUUGCUCGGAAUUACUGGGCGUAAAGGGCGCGUAGGCGGAAUGGCAAGUCGGUCGUGAAAUCCUUCGGCUCAACCGAAGAACGUCGAUCGAAACUGCCGUUCUUGAGGAUUGCAGAGGAGACUGGAAUUCCCGGUGUAGCGGUGAAAUGUGUAGAGAUCGGGAGGAACACCGGUGGCGGAGGCGGGUCUCUGGGCAAUUCCUGACGCUGAGGCGCGAAAGCGUGGGGAGCAAACGGG